rnacentral:miRNA from 1 species
GUGGUUAAAUAGAUGCUCAGCAUGUGCAAGGCAUGUACAUGCGUUCUAUUCUUAGCACACACACACACAUACAUACAUACAUAUACACACACACAUAC